rnacentral:tRNA from 1 species
CAGCGCAUAGCUCAACAGAACAGCAUCUCCCUUACACUGAGAAGAUAUCCGUGCAAAUCGGAUUGCUCUGA